rnacentral:rRNA from 1 species
AUGAAGCCCCCCUCAAGAUGAGAUUUCCCAUAGCGUAAGCUAGUAAGAUCCCUGAAAGAUGAUCAGGUUGAUAGGUUCGAGGUGGAAGCAUGGUGACAUGUGGAGCUGACGAAUACUAAUAGAUCGAGGACUUAACCAU